rnacentral:rRNA from 1 species
GACGAACGCUGGCGGCGUGCUUAACACAUGCAAGUCGAACGAAGUGGCGAACGGGUGAGUAACGCGUAAUCAACCUGCCCUUCAGAGGGGGACAACAGUUGGAAACGACUGCUAAUACCGCUUACUGAAGGAGGGGAUUGCGUCUGAUUAGCUAGUUGGAUGGGGAACGGCCCACCAAGGCGACGACGGGUAGCCGGCCUGAGAGGGGGACCGGCCACAUGAGGACUGAGCUACGGACCAGACUCCUACGGGAGGCAGCAGUGGAGAGUAUUGCACAAUGGGGGAAACCCUGAUGCAGCAACGCCGCGUGCGGGAUGCCGGCCUUCGGGUUGUAAACCGCUUUCACGGUAGUGGCAGAAGAAGCACCGGCUAACUACGUGCCAGCAGCCGCGGUAAUUC